AACCUGCCCCAUAGUCUGGGAUACCACUUGGAAACAGGUGCUAAUACCGGAUAAGAAAGCAGAUCGCAUGAUCAGCUUUUAAAAGGCGGCGUAAGCUGUCGCUAUGGGAUGGCCACGCGGUGCAUUAGCUAGUUGGUAAGGUAAAGGCUUACCAAGGCGAUGAUGCAUAGCCGAGUUGAGAGACUGAUCGGCCACAUUGGGACUGAGACACGGCCCAA
rnacentral:rRNA from 1 species